rnacentral:misc_RNA from 1 species
AAUAUUCAACCUUGCUGGCUGUGUUUAAUUUACUGGCGGGCCUGUGUUGGGCUGUGGAAGCUGCUAGCAGGUCUUUGUGUCUUGUCAGCUCUUCUUAAAUGCAUUAGCAACAAUCACUGCUAAAACUUGUUGAUAUGAUAAACUUAUAUCUAUAUCAUUGAGAUAUUGUCUUGAUUUUGCUGCAAACUCUCUUUUUGAGACACUCGAAUGACAA